rnacentral:lncRNA from 1 species
UGGAAUAUUAUUACUAAAUGAUUGUUUGGAGUUCAUUGCGAUUGGUAAUGUGGAUCGUGACAUUUCAGUGGCUCGUUGCUGGUUCCAGAAUUCAAUGCACCCUCGUUCCCACUGUGAAGAACACGCCAAAGGGAUACGUUGUAAUUCAAAAAGCCAUAGAGGGGAAUACUAAAACCCCAAAGGACAAGGCAUCGGGGGCAAGCACCUUGACACUUCCGUUUUUGCUGCAGUUGGGACUGAUGGUUGCACCUGCCUUACUUCAAACUCUGCUGUAGCACUUGCUAUGCUCUCCUUCCACAAGACUCUGCAGAACUUCUGCAAGAACGGGGGCAACAACAUAACAAUAGCUUUAAUGACUAGGCCUACUAUAUUUACCUGUACUGUAGACCCUAGCUGACCCGUUUCCAUGACUGAACACCAUGAUAUUCUUAACCCAAAUGACCUUGUAAUAAUCAUACAGAAACAGAAAUAAAGUUGUGUAUCUACACUCUUCUUGAUAUUUUCUAUCUCUGUCUAAUAGAUGGAGCCAUGUGCAGACUAUGCCUAUGACAUAUUGUGGGCUAGGGAUAGGCUAGGCAUUAGCCUUGAAAACCACCCUGGUUUCUUUACCUGGCUGCCACACCCCUCCCUCAGAGCUCUGGGUCUGCUCAGCUUCCUUUACUUCCUGUUGUGUCGAGCUCCUCUCCAC